GGAGAGACGGUGGUUGCUGCUGGUUAGAUUCGUCUGAGCUCUGAUCUGGCCUGAAACCAUCCUGAAGAUUUUUCUGUGUGCUGAAGUUUCACCCAAAGGGGACAAGUGGGCCACACUAGCCACGUACCGCAACAUCCCAUUUGGUGAAGUUUGGACACCGCAAAACCCUUUGGAACCCUGAUCCUCUCCUGACUGUAAAAUGGUAUAUGUGAGCCAGCAAGGUGUUUGUGUUUGAGUCUUGACUUUACAUGUUACUGUGUAGAGCUGCAGAGAAUCACAAGGAUUUUAUGACAGUGUGGUGACAUUGCUAGGGGACUGGUCAGUGCACACCCUCCUCUGCUCUGAAGAUCCUGUAUCCACCAGGAUCCAGCUGCCUUGUUUUCCAAAUCCUACACUUUACCUGACUUUCCAAACCCUCACUUAGCAUGACUGAUGGUCCUACCCAUCAAUUUUACCAUUCUUAGCCCUGCUCCUGUUCAUCACUCAACUCAAUCACUCAACUCAAGAGGGAAACAGGUUGAGAUGAGGUUCUAAAUAAUUGCUGUUGAAAGGAUAACUUUCUUGUCUGUACUAAGAAGCAAGAGCAUGGCAUAUGCAGGUAGGAGAUGUUUUUCUUCAUUCUAAGCCCUGCAUAAACAAAAAUUAUUCCUCUCCUCGUUCACUGGCUCCUGUGGGGCUACUCAUUUGAUUUAGGAAAGUAGAGAUUUUGCCCAUAUGGAAUUUGAGUCCUAGGAGCGAUCUCCUUCUGAUUUAAAAUUAUUACAGCCCAUCUGAGUGUAUUUACAGUUCCAACUAAUUCUUUGCAGAUUCUUUAAAAUAUAAUAAAUAAAUAAACACACUAUGUAAUGUGUGUUUUUACUUUUAUUGCU